rnacentral:lncRNA from 1 species
GGAAAAUAAGCAGACACCACCAUGCUCUUUUUGUAUGGGGCUGAAUGAAGCUCAAACCUGGGAUUUUGCAAAUGGAAGUCAGGAGAGUGAGCCACAUCCCCAGUCCCAGAUACUUCUCUUCUUGAAAAGUAUUAUACUUCCAAGUCGCGGAAAUCACAUAUAUUUCCUCCCAAAGACAAGAUUAUCCUUCUUCUCAAGUCUACAUCUGGGCCAGUUCAUAAACACAGCAUAUUUUCUCUACUAUGAUGUCACUAUGAUGUUACUUGCCAUUCAUGGCCCAGCGCCAUUGUGUUUUCUCAUAUGUCUGGAGUCACUCCUUCCUGUGACUUACCCUUGUUUAAAGUUGCAAAGACAGCCAUCCCUCUCACUAAUCCUUUAUGUGGAUGGACAUCUAGCUCAUUUUUGUCUUUCUCUGCUACUAACCAAACCCAACUCUUGUGUUGG